GACGAACGCUGGCGGCGUGCUUAACACAUGCAAGUCGAACGGAAAGGCCCUGCUUUUGUGGGGUGCUCGAGUGGCGAACGGGUGAGUAACACGUGAGUAACCUGCCCUUGACUUUGGGAUAACUUCAGGAAACUGGGGCUAAUACCGGAUAGGAGCUCCUGCUGCAUGGUGGGGGUUGGAAAGUUUCGGCGGUUGGGGAUGGACUCGCGGCUUAUCAGCUUGUUGGUGGGGUAGUGGCUUACCAAGGCUUUGACGGGUAGCCGGCCUGAGAGGGUGACCGGCCACAUUGGGACUGAGAUACGGCCCAGACUCCUACGGGAGGCAGCAGUGGGGAAUAUUGCACAAUGAGCGGAAGCCUGAUGCAGCAACGCCGCGUGCGGGAUGACGGCCUUCGGGUUGUAAACCGCUUUCGCCUGUGACGAAGCGUGAGUGACGGUAAUGGAUAAAGAAGCACCGGCUAACUACGUG
rnacentral:rRNA from 1 species